CGGUCCUAAGGUAGCGAAAUUCCUUGUCGGGUAAGUUCCGACCUGCACGAAUGGCAUAAUGAUGGCCACACUGUCUCCUCCUGAGACUCAGUGAAGUUGAAAUGUUUGUGAUGAUGCAAUCUCCCCGCGGCUAGACGGAAAGACCCCAUGAACCUUUACUGCAGCUUUGCAUUGGACUUUGAACCGAUCUGUGUAGGAUAGGUGGGAGGCAGUGAAGCUAGGACGCCAGUCUUAGCGGAGCCAACCUUGAAAUACCACCCUGAUUUGUUUGAGGUUCUAACCUAGGAGCGUAAUCCGCUUCGGGGACCGUGCAUGGUAGGCAGUUUGACUGGGGCGGUCUCCUCCUAAAGGGUAACGGAGGAGUGCGAAGGUACGCUAGGUACGGUCGGAAAUCGUGCUGAUAGUGCAAUGGCAAAAGCGUGCUUGACUGCGAGACCGACAAGUCGAGCAGAUACGAAAGUAGGUCAUAGUGAUCCGGUGGCUCUGCAUGGAAGGGCCAUCGCUCAACGGAUAAAAGGUACUCUGGGGAUAACAGGCUGAUACCGCCCAAGAGUUCAUAUCGACGGCGGUGUUUGGCACCUCGAUGUCGGCUCAUCGCAUCCUGGGGCUGUAGUCGGUCCCAAGGGUAUGGCUGUUCGCCAUUUAAAGAGGUACGUGAGCUGGGUUUAAAACGUCGUGAGACAGUUUUGUCCCUAUCUGCCGUGGGCGUUGGAAGAUUGACGGGGGCUGCUCCUAGUACGAGAGGACCGGAGUGGACUCACCUCUGGUGUACCGGUUGUCACGCCAGUGGCAUCGCCGGGUAGCUAUGUGGGGAAAGGAUAACCGCUGAAAGCAUCUAAGCGGGAAACCUGCCUGAAGAUAAGUCUUCCUGGAGGCUAGACCUCCCUGAAGAGUCGUUCGAGACCAGGACGUUGAUAGGUUGGAUGUGCAAGCGCUGUGAGGCGUUGAGCUGACCAAUACUAAUUGCUCGUGAAGCUUGAUCCU
rnacentral:rRNA from 1 species